rnacentral:lncRNA from 1 species
AUUAAGAAUAUUAGAAAGAAACUUGCAGCAGUCAGAAUUUCACAGUAAGGGAACCAGCCAUUCCUGUGGAGGGCAGGAUGGAGUGGAAACCUGCAUGCUCAUUCAGCAUACACUGAAUGAGAGCCAAGGAACAUUUAUUGAAGCUUCUUCUUCCUUAUACAGACCUAGAUAUAAUCAGAGGAACAGCUUGAUUAGAAAUUUGGAGUCCUCUUUUGCAAUUUGGUAACUAUAUGGCAUUAAGAAAAUCAGUUAGCCUGUUUGAACUUCAGUUUUCUAAUUUUCUAAUAAACAGAGAGAUGUGGUUAGUGCAUCCAAUCACUGAGAUGACUGAAUUAUGAAGGGGCAAAUCUUAUCAGUCAGUUAAUCCACCAAGCUACCUCCUAUCCUGACUUCAGUCAGGGCUAUAAAUGGGGUAUCUUAAUCAAAACCCUUCCCUUAAAUCUCAGUGAUCUAUGAGAAUGAAGAGGCAGAAAUAUUCUAAGAGCCAGAGAAGAUAGAUAACAUCAGGGAAACCACAUCCACCGGGCACAACAAGAACAGAUCCACCUAUGAACUCCUAGAGACUGUGGCCUGCCCAAGUCCAACCAGACAAAAGCCCAGCACUGAGAAGGAGGAGCGCACACAAAGUUCCAGCUCUAACCAAGAAGCAGUCUGUAACUGAUAACUGCUGGGAAAAGCAAAAUUUGCUUUCUCC